CGCUGGCGGCGUGCUUAACACAUGCAAGUCGAACGAGAAUCUGCGGAACGAGGAUUCGUCCAAGUGAAGCAGAGGACAGUGGCGGACGGGUGAGUAACGCGUGAGGAACCUGCCUUUCAGAGGGGGACAACAGUUGGAAACGACUGCUAAUACCGCAUGACACAUAGAUGUCGCAUGGCAUUUAUGUCAAAGAUUUAUCGCUGAAAGAUGGCCUCGCGUCUGAUUAGCUAGUUGGUGAGGUAACGGCCCACCAAGGCGACGAUCAGUAGCCGGACUGAGAGGUUGAACGGCCACAUUGGGACUGAGAUACGGCCCAGACUCCUACGGGAGGCAGCAGUGGGGAAUAUUGGGCAAUGGGCGCAAGCCUGACCCAGCAACGCCGCGUGAAGGAAGAAGGCUUUCGGGUUGUAAACUUCUUUUGUCAGGGACGAGCAGAAGACGGUACCUGACGAAUAAGCCACGGCUAACUACGUG
rnacentral:rRNA from 1 species